rnacentral:lncRNA from 1 species
CUGUGAUGAGGAGGUGAAGAAAUGAGCCUGCUGAGGAAGCUGGUAUGAUAAUUUAGACAAAACAAAAACUAGCUUGUAGUAUGAUAAAAUGGAAAAGUGGAAGAAAAGACAUGCACUUGAAAGUUUAUUUGUGUUUCAUACAAAUAAUUCAUCAGGGGUUUGGGUGGUUUGCUAACAAGGUAGCUGAUGAGGCUUCUGCCAUACUUCUCUCAGGAAAUACAGUUGGCUGUGGGGUGAAGAUAGACUUUCCA